CAGUAGUCACGAGUUUGAUCCUGGCUCAGAACGAACGCUGGCGGCAGGCUUAACACAUGCAAGUCGAGCGCCCCCGCAAAGGGGGAGCGGCAGACGGGUGAGUAACGCGUGGGAACAUACCCUUUGGUUCGGAAUAACUCAGGGAAACUUGAGCUAAUACCGGAUACGUCCGUAAGGAGAAAGAUUUAUCGCCAAAGGAUUGGCCCGCGUCCGAUUAGCUAGUUGGUGAGGUAACGGCUCACCAAGGCUACGAUCGGUAGCUGGUCUGAGAGGAUGAUCAGCCACAUUGGGACUGAGACACGGCCCAAACUCCUACGGGAGGCAGCAGUGGGGAAUAUUGGACAAUGGGCGCAAGCCUGAUCCAGCCAUGCCGCGUGAGUGAUGAAGGCCUUAGGGUUGUAAAGCUCUUUUGUCCGGGAAGAUAAUGACUGUACCGGAAGAAUAAGCCCCGGCUAACUUCGUG
rnacentral:rRNA from 1 species